rnacentral:rRNA from 1 species
CUAAGAAUAUUCCGCAAUGGACGAAAGUCUGACGGAGCGACGCCGCGUGGAUGAUGAAGGCCGGAAGGUUGUAAAAUCCUUUUAAGUAUGAGGAAUAAGCAGUGUGAGAGAAACGCAUUGUGGUGACUGUAGUACUUGAAUAAGCAACGGCUAAUUACGUGCCAGCAGCCGCGGUAACACGUAAGUUGCGAGCGUUGUUCGGAAUUAUUGGGCGUAAAGGGCAUGUAGGCGGUUUUGCAAGCUUGGUGUGAAAUGCCGGAGCUUAACUCCGGAAUUGCGUUGAGAACUGCAUAG